GGAGAUGUACCCAAGUGGUGAAGGGGACUGUUUGCUAAACAGUUAGGUCGGUAACACGGCGCGGAGGUUCGAACCCUCUCAUCUCCGCCA
rnacentral:tRNA from 2 species